AAAAGAAACUAACUAGGAUUCCCUUAGUAACGGCGAGUGAAGAGGGAAAAGCUCAAAUUGAAAAUCGACAGCUUGUCUGUCGAGUUGUAGUCUCUGGAAGUACAGCCAGUGGUCGCUUUGGAACAAGUCUCUUGGAAAAGAGCACCAGAGAAGGUAAAAGUCCUGUCUUUCCAAAAGUAGCUACAUACGGUUAUAUUUCAUAGAGUCGCGUUUCUUGCAAUUGAAGCGCAAAGUGGGUGAUAAACUUCAUCUAAAGCUAAAUAUCAGCAAGAGACCGAUAGCGAACAAGUACCGUGAGGGAAAGAUGAAAAGCACUCUGGAAAGAAAGUUAAAAGGCACUGAAAUUGCUAAAAUGGAAGUGGAGUGAUAAAAGCAAGCGUAUCUCAUAAAAGAUGCACUACGGAGUUUUUGCAACUUUUGUUGUGUUUCUUUUUGACCGCUCGUUGGGGCUAAUGUAACAGUCGGGACUUACUUCAGUGUCAGACUAUAAGUCAAUUGUAGCUGCAUUGCUGUACAACCUGAUUCUGUAUAUUAGAUAAAAUAUAUACCACUCGUGGUGUAUAUUAUCCCAAUGAAGCUUUGUCUCUCUAUCCCGUCUUGAAACACGGAAGGGCGAAUUCGUU
rnacentral:rRNA from 1 species